rnacentral:rRNA from 1 species
AUUGAACGCUGGCGGCAUGCUUUACACAUGAAGGCGAACGGCAGCGCGGGCUUCGGCCUGGCGGCGAGUGGCGAACGGGUGAGUAAUGCAUUGGAACGUGCCCAUAAGUGGGGGAUAGCCCGGCGAAAGCCGGAUUAAUACCGCAUACGACCUGUGUGUGAAAGCGGGGGACCGAAAAGCCUCGGGCGGUUGGAGUGGCCGAUGUCGGAUUAGCUAGUUGGUGGGGUAAAGGCUUACCAAGGCGACGAUCCGUAGCUGGUCUGAGAGGACGACCAGCCACACUGGGACUGAGACACGGCCCAGACUCCUACGGGAGGCAGCAGUGGGGAAUUUUGGACAAUGGGGGCAACCCUGAUCCAGCCAUGCCGCGUGCGGGAAGAAGGCCUUCGGGUUGUAAACCGCUUUUGUUCGGGAAGAAAUCCUCUGGGCUAAUACCCCGGGGGGAUGACGGUACCGGAAGAAUAAGCACCGGCUAACUACGUG